UACGUAGGGUGCGAGCGUUAAUCGGAAUUACUGGGCGUAAAGCGUGCGCAGGCGGUUGUAUAAGCCAGAUGUGAAAUCCCCGGGCUCAACCUGGGAAUGGCAUUUGGGACUGUACAGCUGGAGUGUGGCAGAGGAGACUGGAAUUCCUGGUGUAGCAGUGAAAUGCGUAGAUAUCAGGAGGAAUACCGAUGGCGAAGGCAGGUCUCUGGGCUGACACUGACGCUCAUGCACGAAAGCGUGGGGAGCAAACAGG
rnacentral:rRNA from 1 species